UACGGAGGGUGCAAGCAUUAAUCGGAUUUACUGGGCGUAAAGGGCGCGUAGGCGGGAAAGAAAGUCAGGUGUGAAAUCCUGGAGCUCAACUCCAGAACUGCACUUGAAACUUCUUUUCUAGAGGAUUGGCGGAGAAAAUGGAAUUCCCGGUGUAGCGGUGAAAUGCGCAGAUAUCGGGAAGAACACCCGUGGCGAAGGCGGUUCUCUGGGACGGUACUGACGCUGAGACGCGAAAGCGUGGGGAGCGAACAGG
rnacentral:rRNA from 1 species